rnacentral:rRNA from 1 species
CCUACGGGAGGCAGCAGUGGGGAAUAUUGGGCAAUGGACGCAAGUCUGACCCAGCAACGCCGCGUGAAGGACGAAGGUGCCAAGCAUUGUAAACUUCUUUUGUCAAGGGACAAAAUCAGGCUCGAGAGCCUGACCGAGGGUACUUGAAGAAAAAGCAUCGGCUAACUCCGUGCCAGCAGCCGCGGUAAUACGGAGGAUGCGAGCGUUAUCCGGAUUUAUUGGGUUUAAAGGGUGCGUAGGCGGUAUGUCAAGUCAAGGGUGAAAUCCCCGCGCUCAACGUGGGAACUGCCUUUGAAACUGGCAAACUGGAGUGUGUGAGAGGAUAGUGGAAUUCCAGGUGUAGGAGUGAAAUCCGUAGAUAUCUGGAGGAACAUCAGUGGCGAAGGCGACUAUCUGGCACAUAACUGACGCUGAGGAGCGAAAGCGUGGGUAGCAAACAGGAUUAGAUACCCUUGUAGUC